rnacentral:rRNA from 1 species
GACAUUAAAGAGAUAGGGCCCUCUCUGGGCCCGACCCUCCAACCCUUUGUCUACCUUACCUUCGUUGCUUUGGCGGGCCCGCUGGGGAUGACCCACCGCCGGCGCCAGCCGGUGAGCGCCCGCCGGAGGCCAUCAAAACUCCGUCUGUCGGUGCUGUCUGAGUACCCCACAAUCGUUAAAACUUUCAACAACGGAUCUCUUGGUUCUGGCAUCGAUGAAGAACGCAGCGAAAUGCGAUAAGUAAUGUGAAUUGCAGAAUUCAGUGAAUCAUCGAAUCUUUGAACGCACAUUGCGCCCCCUGGUAUUCCGGGGGGCAUGCCUGUUCGAGCGUCAUUACAACCCUCAAGCUCUGCUUGGUAUUGGGCUUUCACCCCUCCCCCGGGGGGGCGUGCCUGAAAGUGAGUGGCGGUGCAGCCUGACUUCAAGCGUAGUAACUUCAAAACCCGCUUCGGAAGCCUUUCAGGUUGGGCCGGCCAGACAGCCCAACAUUAUUUCUAUGGUUGACCUCGGAUCAGGUAGGGAUACCCGCUGAACUUAAG